rnacentral:rRNA from 1 species
UGGGGAAUAUUGGACAAUGGGCGAAAGCCUGAUCCAGCCAUGCCGCGUGUGUGAAGAAGGUCUUCGGAUUGUAAAGCACUUUAAGUUGGGAGGAAGGGCAGUUACCUAAUACGUGAUUGUUUUGACGUUACCGACAGAAUAAGCACCGGCUAACUCUGUGCCAGCAGCCGCGGUAAUACAGAGGGUGCAAGCGUUAAUCGGAAUUACUGGGCGUAAAGCGCGCGUAGGUGGUUUGUUAAGUUGGAUGCGAAAUCCCCGGGCUCAACCUGGGAACUGCAUUCAAAACUGACUGACUAGAGUAUGGUAGAGGGUGGUGGAAUUUCCUGUGUAGCGGUGAAAUGCGUAGAUAUAGGAAGGAACACCAGUGGCGAAGGCGACCACCUGGACUAAUACUGACACUGAGGUGCGAAAGCGUGGGGAGCAAACA